UAAACUAGCACUGCUCGUAAA
rnacentral:piRNA from 1 species